UUCUUUUUUUUUUUUUUUUUUUUUUUUUUUUUUUUUUUUCCCCCCCCCUUUCCGGGCGCUACAACUCUCCCCCCCAUAAAGAAAUUUGGUCCCCAAAUUUGCCUCAUUACUCUUGAUCAAACAGAUGAGGAUAUUGGGCCCUAAAUUCUGAUUCCAGCUCCCAAGUCGCCUCCCUAGGCGUGUGGUUCUGCCACAAGACUUUUACAAAUGAUAUUUCCCGGUUACGGAGUAUUCUGCUUUCUCGGUCUGUGAUACUGACCGGUACUUCUUCAUAAGACAAGUCCUCUCGGAGUGAGAGCGGUUCAUGAGCCACGACAUGAGAAGGGUCCGGAUUGUACUUGCGCAGCAUAGAUACAUGAAACACAUUGUGAACCCGGGAGAGCUCAGGGGGCAGUGCAAGUCUGUAGGCAGUGGUACCAAUCUUGUCUAAGAUUUCAAAGGGUCCAAUGUAUCUGGG
rnacentral:lncRNA from 1 species